GUGUCAGCAGCCGCGGUAAUACGUAGGGUGCGAACGUUGUUCGGAAUCACUGGGCAUAAAGAGCGCGUAGGCGGUCUAAUAAGUCGGGUGUGAAAUCCCUCGGCUCAACCGGGGAACUGCACCUGAUACUGUUGGGCUUGAGUGCAGGAGGGGAGAGCGGAAUUCCUGGUGGAGCGGUGAAAUGCGUAGAUAUCAGGAGGAACGCCGGCGGCGAAAGCGGCUCUCUGGCCUGUAACUGACGCUGAGGCGCGAAAGCUAGGGGAGCAAACGGGAUUAGAAACCCCUGUAGUCC
rnacentral:rRNA from 1 species